UAUCUCUGUAGAGUCUGCAUAUCAAUAAGCGGAGGAAAAGAAACUAACAAGGAUUCCCCUAGUAACGGCGAGUGAAGCGGGAAGAGCUCAAAUUUGAAAUCUUCAAGGGUUUACCUUGACGAAUUGUAGUUUAAAGAAGUGUUUUCUGUUGGAGUUUUCGGUAAAAGUUCUUUGGAAUAGGACAUCAUAGAGGGUGAGAAUCCCGUAUUUGACCGUUAUUUUCAGCUGUGUGAUACACUUUCAAAGAGUCGGAUUGUUUGGGAAUGCAGUCCAAAAUGGGUGGUAAAUUUCAUCUAAAGCUAAAUAUUGGCGAGAGACCGAUAGCGAACAAGUACCGUGAGGGAAAGAUGAAGAGAACUUUGAAAAGAGAGUUAAACAGUACGUGAAAUUGUCAAAAGGGAAGCGUUUGACACCAGUGUUGUUUUCUCGAAAAUCAAUUAAAAUGACCGGAUUUUGUGUUGUAUUGACUUUAUCAGCUUUCUGCACUUUUUUCUUGUCUUUUUUAAUGCACUUUUCGUUUAACAAGUCAACAUCAAUUUCUUUUGUUGUAAAAGGGUCAUUGGAAGGUGGCUUUCACUUCGGUGAAAGUGUUUAUAGCCUUUGACUUCUGCAAUCGGAGAGAUUGAGGUCUGCAGCGUAGAUCCUUCGGGGUUAGAUACAUUUGUGCUAAGUUAUAGUUUUUCAUAGACAACAUGUUGACUAUGAUUAAUCAUGUAGCUUACUCGCUUAUGCUAUUUUACCUACGCUUAGGAUGUUGAACGCGCACAGAGUCUC
rnacentral:rRNA from 1 species